rnacentral:lncRNA from 1 species
CUAAUCUUCUUACACUUUACUCCACAUCACAAACUCUACCAUUCAAUCCAACAACUGGUUUUGUUGCUGUUCCUCAAACACAGCAUUCUGUUUCUCAACACAGACAGCUUUUCACUGGCUGUCCUUGCCUACUUUUUUUCCCCUCUUGGAUAAUUUGGCUUCCUUCAAGACAAAACUCCUUUUAUAAGAAGCCUUUCCUGAUAGCCCCUACUACUAGGACCAUCUCAUUGAGAUUACCUCCAAUUUACAAAUUAUCUUGUAUAUACAUAGUUGUGUGUAUCUUGCCUCAUAGAAUAUGAGCUUCUUGAAGGGAGGGAUUUGUUUUUUGCCUUUGUAUCUAUACUUAGUGUUUUGCACAGUGGCUGGAACAUAAUAAGCAUUUAAUAAAUGAUUGCUUUGUUGACUUCAAUAAUUUUUAGCUUAGAGAAAUGUCCAAAAUUGACACAGUCUACUUAUGCCCUUGUAUUUCUCUCUACCCCUAGACAAUUUACCUUUAUCAUAAUCUUGAAUGAGGAAAAGUGGAUAUAUUAAAAUAUAGUUUGGAGUUAUCAUUCUAGAAAAACGGUUACUUAAUUUAUAACCAAAACUUAUUUAAUUUUUUCUUUUACUACUCUAUUAUAAUCACCAAAAGAAUUUUCUCCCUAACAGAUACAUUUCUUAAGAGAAGUAUGUCUGAGAAUUUUUGAUAAGAAAUAUGUUAGUGUCUUCUCAGGGGAUAGGAUGUGAAAGGCCAACAGGCACAGGUAGACCUUAAAAUUAGGGGCUUUCUCUUUCAGUGGAAUAAAAAACCCUCAGUAUCUCUUUUAUCCACCCCCUACCUUUAACAGUUUGGGGGAGGGGGGAAUAAAAGGGAAAGAGACAGGAGAAUUAAUUAAGCACCUGUAGUAUACCAGAAAGUGUCAGAACUGUCCAAGGACCUAGCAGAUGUAAAAACAAAGAGUACACAAUCCCAAACUUCAACGAGUUUAACUAUCACAGAAGAAAACAGGUAUAUAUAAGUAGAUAAAGAAUAUAUACAAUGCUAAUACAAGGUAAUUUGUAUAAUGGGGAAGGAAGAAAAUAGGAACCAACAUUUAUUAAGUAUCUACUAUGUUCUAGGGACUGGACUAAU